GUGAUGGUAUUUAUGCAUUUACACUAAAUGAUUACUAUUUAUAGGGCUGUAUCAAAAGACCACGUUUUGAAAAUGAGUUCUGGAGUCAGACCACAUGGGUUUGAAUCCCAGUUCUUCCACUUACACUCUCACUUUGGGUAACUUAUUUAAUCUUAAUGUGCCUCAAAUGGAUGAUACAAGCAUCUACCUCCACAUAGUGUCUCUGGUGGUUAGCUCCGUUCCUGGCACCUAGGCGGUGUCCGAUGAAAUUUGUUCAAUAACUGACAGAGUGAAUGAAGUAAUGAUUUUUAUGGAGAUUAAAUAAGGUCAUAUAACUUUAGUUUGCUGGCAUGGUGCAAACAUUCAAUAAAGGUUGAGUGUUACCAUCGACAUCCUCUCUAGCCUUGGGAAUACUUCCCUAGCGUGGGCUGUUCCCUGUGUCUGGAACACCCUUCCAUCUCUUCUGCACCUUGUUUCUCAAGACUCCGGUCAGGCAAAACCCCGCAGUCAGUCUUUCCCGGGUGGCCCCUUCCCAAAUUGUCCCCCUGCUUCUUUUCUCCACUUAUAGCACCUCUGAUGUUGGGUCUCCAAUGAUUUUUGUUUCUUUCAUGAUGGCCUUAUUGAGAUGUAAUUCACGUAUCAUACAAGUGACCCAUUUACAGGGUACAAUUCGGUGAUUUUCAGUAUGUUCACGGAACUGGGCAGUCAUCACCUCAAUUUUCGCCAUUCCCUAAAGAAACCCCAUACCCAUUAGCCCCGCUCCCCCUCACUCCAGCCGCUGGCAAGCACUAAUGUACUUUCUGUCCUGAUGGAUCUUCCCAUUCUAGACUUUCAUGUAAAUGGAGUCGUGCGAGAUAUAUGGCUUUUUGUGUCUGGCUGCUUUCACUCAGCGUAAUGUUUUCUCGGUUCAUCCAGGUUGUAGCACGUGCCAGUAUUUCAUCCCUUUUCACGGCUGAAAAAUACCUACUUCAUGGUCAUACCACUUAUCCACUCAGCAGUCGAUGGACAUUUGGGAUAUUUACACUUGUUGGCUAUUCUAAACAAUGCUGCUAAGAACAUCUGUACGAAUUGUUGUGUGGACACAUUUCUCUUGGUACAUACCUAGGGGUAGAUUGCUGUGUGAUCUGGUAACACUAUGUUCAACUUUUUCAACACUAUGUUCGAACCGCCUGUUUUCCAAGGCGGCUGCACCAUUUUGCAUUCCCACCAGCAGUGUAUGGGGGGGGUCCAGUUUCUCUACAUGUACAAUCAUUUUUCAGUGUACCUCCAUGCCAGUGAACUUCUUGAAGGCAAAGAGGGUGAGACUGCGGUUUUCUGUCCCUCCAGCUCUUAGCCCAGCGCGAGUCACCGAGAGAAACUUUUCUUUCCCCAGCUCAACCCUGCUCCACUGGACUACAUCAGAGUCAUGGAGACAUGAUAUCUUCCGUGUUAAAAUAUAUGUUCAGGCAAGAUGGCAUAGCCCCGUUUUUCCUUGCUCCUCACGGCGACACACAACUACAGACCGUGGAAAUGGCAAAAGAGACAACCAAAGGAAAACCCCGGAAGGUGGUAAAAGGGGGAGAGACCUGUUUUCUGGGUGAAGCAGCCUGUGGCCAGAUUGGGAUCCAGAGCCCCACCUGCUCCAACAUCUACAAGGCAUCUACCCAGCACCCAGAGGAGAAGACUGGGUGGUGCUUGGGAAACUGCCAUGAUGGGGGCUGGGGGGAAGGAGAGCCCGUGCAGCUAUCUUUCUUCCCACAGACAUUAUGGGACUCUAGAAAUGUCUCUUCUCCCCUUCCUGCUCUUUCUCCGUAGAUGUGGUAUGUAAGAUGUAUCUGUAGAUACAGAUAUAAUUUUCCCACACAUACGUACAAUAUUUAGUGUAGUUUUACUAGAAUGGAGAUCUUACCAUCUGUUGGUAUUGUGCAGGCAGAUUCACAUGGUGGUGGUAACUAAAAUAAAAUAUGAAAAUGUAUUAGUCUAAUGCCAGAAAAAAAAUAAGCUAAAAAAGCAUACCAACACAUAUAUUAAAUAGAAUCUGAACAGAAGAGGACUUCCCCAAUUUUUAAAUCCUAAAAAUAAUUUAUAAUAUAUAGAAACAAGGCAAUGUUUGCUCUCCUGCCAAGAAACAAAUUCAGGCCUCUUAGCUUUUGAAGGCACAAAGGAGAAUAAACAAAAGGAAAUGCAUCUUGAGAUAACUGAUUUAUGCAUUUGCAAUGAUUAUAUACACACACACACACACACACACACACACACACACACACACACACACAAAGUAGGCAGAGCGUUCUCACUGAAAAGUUAUGAUUGUUAGCCAAUGGUUUUUCCCUUCUAAUUUUUCCUAUUCACCUCAACGUUGUCAGGAUUCAUAUAUAAAGACAAACCUAAAUAUACUGGCUUCGUUGUUAAAUUAUUCUUUUUCCUUGUACUAUACCCCACUUACAAGGCUACUAGUAAGAAGUCAGACUUCAUGUUUUCUGUUUGUUUUCCUUAUUUAAUGUAGUUAAUAAGAUUAAUUUAGGAUUAUCUAGUUCAGUCUUUUGGUUAAUCCAAAUAAUUGAAAAUAAUACAAAGUCAAAAUUGUAAGAUUAUGAACCAC